UACGGAGGGGGCGAGCGUUGUCCGAAGUUACUGGGCGUAAAGCGCGCGUAGGCGGGUUGGUAAGUCCGCUGUGAAAGCCCGGAGCUCAACUCCGGAGGGUCGGUGGAUACUGCCAGUCUUGAAGGUGCUAGGGGGAGAUGGAAUUACCGGUGUAGCGGUGAAAUGCGUAGAGAUCGGUAGGAACACCAGUGGCGAAGGCGGUCUCCUGGGGCAUACUUGACGCUGAGGCGCGAAAGCUGGGGGGAGCGAACGGG
rnacentral:rRNA from 1 species